rnacentral:sRNA from 1 species
AGACAAAAUCGACUUUUGUGAGACAAAAUUGACUUUUGUGAGACAAAAUUGACAAAAUUGAAUUUUGUCUCACAAAAUUGAGUUUUGUCUCAAAAGCCA